UCUCCGUUGGUGAACCAGCGGAGGGAUCAUUACAGGACUCACAAGACUCCUACAACCCUGUGAACUUAACUAUAUGCAUGUUGAUUCGGCGGGGGUCCCGGAAGGGGUCCUCCCUCCCCGAGACGCUACACCAGCCGGCCGCCUACUAUACUCUGACUCUUCGCGUUGGCACCUAGAGUACAAUCAAACACGUUAAAACUUUCAAUAACGGAUCUCUUAGUUCGGGCAUCGAUGAAGAACUCAGCAGACAGGAAGCGCACACGUAAGAACGCCAGUCAC
rnacentral:misc_RNA from 1 species